ACAAACUUUGGAUCUUAGUAACUUCUUCAAUUCUUGGAGUUUUUAAGAGCCGUUUGAGGCAAAAUGGAGAGUACGACGAGUUCUACGCGUGAGUACCAUCAAUUUCAGCUUUGGUGCUUCCCUUGAAUUUCGAAAUUCUUGAUCAUUUUAAGGGUUUUGUGCAAUCUUGAGGUCACGGCAAGGGAAUGGCGGAUGAAAAUCCUCCGCAAGCUUGAAAGUUGUUAGAAGAUAUUUUUUUGCUAUUUUGUAUUUGGCCAUUUCAUGUAUAAUUGUAGUUUUGGGAAUGUAAAUAAGUUUCUAUUCAUGGCCAUCGACAAAAUGUAAUUAAUUUUUAAUUACACUAAAUCCUUUAGUGUAUUUUGGUGACGUGUGGUGAAUUACGUUAAUAACGUUGUUAUUGUUA